GCAAGUCGAGCGGUAACACAAGGGAGCUUGCUCCUGAGGUGACGAGCGGCGGACGGGUGAGUAAUGCCUGGGUAUUUGCCUAGUUGAGGGGGAUAACCGUUGGAAACGACUGCUAAUACCGCAUACGGCUUUCGGGGGAAAGGAGGGGACCUUCGGGCCUUCCGCGGUUAGAUGAACCUAGGUGGGAUUAGCUAGUUGGUGAGGUAAUGGCUCACCAAGGCGACGAUCCCUAGCUGGUCUGAGAGGAUGAUC
rnacentral:rRNA from 1 species